GGGCGGAUAGCUCAGUUGGGAGAGCACUGGCUUUACAAGCCAGGGGUCACAGGUUCAAGCCCUGUUCCGCCUACCA
rnacentral:tRNA from 1 species